GAAUUGUGAUCUUAUACAACCAUUAUUUAUUUUUAAGUAAUUUUUGUAAGCAUUGGGGGGUCGUGAAGAUUCUAUCAGUGAGUAUUUGUUCUCGAAAGGGCUAUGAUUAAUAUUGAAUAAUCAGACAUAGUACGCUAAGGUUGUAUGUCUAAAGGGAAACAGCCCAGAGCAAGUGUAAAUAAGGUUCCAAAAUUAUUAUUAAGUGAAAUAAAGGUAGUUUAUGUCUUAAACGGCCAGGAAAUGGGCUUAGAAGCGGCCAUUUUUUAAAGACCUCGUAACAGAGCACUGGCUUUGUCCUAAAAUUUAGGAUAAAUUAGAUUUAAAUUUUUUAGAUCUAAUUUACAUGGAUAUGAGCACCGAGGAUACAACGGAUCUAAAUAAUAUACCGAGACCUUGUCCAUAAAAAUAUAUACUUAUUAUCUGUAUAAGAUAAGUUAUUUGAAAAAGCAAACAGAGAUCCAGUAAUAAAAGAUAAUUAU
rnacentral:rRNA from 1 species